rnacentral:rRNA from 1 species
UACGAAGGGGGGCUAGCGUUGCUCGGAAUUACUGGGCGUAAAGCGCACGUAGGCGGCUUUCUAAGUCGGGGGUGAAAUCCUGGAGCUCAACUCCAGAACUGCCUUCGAUACUGGAAAGCUCGAGUCCGGGAGAGGUGAGUGGAACUGCGAGUGUAGAGGUGAAAUUCGUAGAUAUUCGGAAGAACACCAGUGGCGAAGGCGGCUCACUGGACGACUGUUGACGCUGAGGUGCGAAAGCGUGGGGAGCAAACAGG